rnacentral:lncRNA from 1 species
GUGAUUUCAAUCAAUUUCAGCCAGCAUUUUCUGUUUAAUUUUGUAAGUACUUGAAAUUUUUGUAAUUAUCAAAGCAAUCGCCUCGUCACCUUCUGAGGAGAAAAUAAAUCUUAGAGGUGUCGCCUCUGAAAUGGGGGUCGAAAUUACCAAUAUUAUCGACCUUGUUAGAGACAUUAGGGCCGGACAAAGUGUAUUACUUCGAGUAGAGGAUGGGGAAAAUGAGGAAGCAGUAUUGGGGCUGUCAUCUAUUAUAGAUGCUUUCCAUUUAGUGAAUCUUAGAUAAAAAUACUGUAUCCCAUAUGACAUAGAACUCAAACCUCCUGCCCCAAAUGAGCGUGUUUAUUUUCUGAGGCCUGGAUGAGUCGCCAUUAGCGAAUUUCUUCUUAAAGCAGGGCUUCAACUGCCUUUACAUCCAUUCUUUAGAGCUGUCCUUAGGUUGUACGGACUGACUUCCCCUCAAUUCAUUCCUAAUGUGUGGGCACAACUAGUGGGAUCAUACUUUCUGUGGAAAGAGACCUCGCUAGGUAAAGACAUGUCGUUCUAUGUUUUUUAAACUAUUCUUCAGCCUAGGUCUCUAGGUAAAGGAAACUUUAAGGGUUGGUAUUCUUUAUGUUCAUUGGGGUCGCAUCCUCCCUUCAUCAAAGGACUUUUUUCCUCCAUCAAAGAAUGGAAAGAGACAUAGUUCUAGGUGAGGGAAAAAUGACAAGUAUGUGAGGGUGACACCUCCCCCAUGUGACAGUUCCCAUCUCCAGCUCAGAAGCUAGUGAUUGUUGUACCUUUUAAGUAUUUUAUUGAGGAGUUGAAUUAAUGUGGAUCAUGACCUAGUGUGUGUUUGCCUUUUGCAGGAUUUGUAGAUCGUUUUGAGCUUAGUGAAGCUGGGCUUGAGCUUGUUGGGGACAUCUACCUAUGUCAUUCUUCUUCAAAGAAGUUUGAGAGAUUAAUUGUUUCUCGCCGUUUCUUUGAAGAAUUCAACCUGAUGGCUUGCAAAGAUACUUUUGCCUUUCUAGGAUGUGAUUGUUUUGACGUUGUUCAUCUUUGUUGACCUGGGUGCUUUACAUUUUUGCAGAAAAAACUUUGAGAAGAGGAGAUGCCCCACUUUGACAUGGCCACCAUCCUCGCAGCCACCCCAUAGCCUAGAGAAAGGGGUUAAAGCCCUCAUCUGUUGUUACCAAGCAGGUAAGGGACCAAGUAGAGUCAGCAGGGAGGUUGCUACCCAAGAAGCCACCACCAUAGUAGAGAGAAAGGGGUUAAAACUCUUAUCUAUUGUUACAAGUAGGUAAGGGACCAAGUGAAGAGGGUCAUUAGGGAGGCUACUACCCAAGAGGGUGAUAGAAGACCUCCCAUCAAGGAUAAGGAGAAGAAUAAGGUGGAAGAAGUCCCCCAAAAUAAGCAAAAAAUUUCUACUACCAGAGAGGGUGAGUUUAUGGCUAGCUCACUACCUCGCUCCGAAGUCCUUGCUGGGGAGAAACUGAUGGCAGCGUUUAUUGUCGAAGCUAAGGAAACCCAAAAGAAGCUAAUUGCUGUGGAGUUCUCAAGGCAAGAAUCUUCGAAGUGGGCAAGGACCUCAAGUGGGUCCUCACCCGAAAUUUGCUGUCUCACCAUGGAACAAUGAACUGGCCCUGGAGGUUUUGUCCAUGUUGCCGACGAAAAGUUUAAACUGCAACUCUACUUUUCACAAGUUCUAGACGGACCGUUGGCAGUCCUUCAUGGAGACCAUUAAUUGAAUGGAAAUUUUCACCACAAUGGUGAGCCAAUCUGCAAGGGCUUAUGGGGUCGCUAUAGAGGCGAAGGCCCUUUUUAAAAAACCUUUACAAUAAAAAUAAAGAAUUUACAAUAAGACCUCCCAGACAGAGGAGGCAGCUAAGAAGGUGAAAGCGGAGGUAGAGGCUGUUAAGAAGUAGCAUGCUGAAGACUCCAUAAAGCUUGCCUUUGCCUUGGCAAAGAUUAAAAACUUGUAGAAGCAAGUACACUAGUGUCAGAGUGAAGUGGCUUCCAUGACAAGGCGAGUGGAGAAUUCUGAUGCUCACCAAAUGCUAGUGGCUGAGGCCUUAGAGGCAGCAAUUAAAGAGAAUGUUGUUCUAAAAGAUCGGGUGCGAGAGUUAGACUCCAGAGUGUCGGGCCUAAUCGAGGAGCUAGAGAUGACGAGGAAGGAGGCAGAGUCUGUUAGUAGUGGGGCUAAAAAGCACUAUACAUCUAACUUUCACCUGACUCAGGCAUACCAAGGUUUUGCAAAAUAUUGGUGAAGGUACGCCUAUGCGAAGGUGGUGGAGUGGAUUGAAGUCAACUUCUAGACCUUCAAUACUUCUAAACUGAGGUAUGAGUUCUUGGAUGAGGGAGAAGAACCUCAAACUUCUACGGAGGAUAGCCAUGUGAUAGAAAUCAAAUACGAAGCCACCGAAGAAGAGGCUGAAGUCAAAGAAGUCGUGGCUUUCGAUGCCAUAAUAGCCUUUGUACCUCCUCCGCCCCCACCUGUUUAGAUAGGGCAACUUGUAAUUAUUUUAUUUUACUUUGUAAUUUGGCCUAGAAGCCCACUUUUGUAAUAUUAAUUGAUCAUUAAUGGAAGUCCUUUUUUGUUUAUAU